GCGUACCUUUUGUAUAAUGGGUCAGCGACUUAUAUUCUGUAGCAAGGUUAACCGAAUAGGGGAGCCGGAGGGAAACCGAGUCUUAAUUGGGCGUUAAGUUGCAGGGUAUAGACCCGAAACCCGGUGAUCUAGCCAUGGGCAGGUUGAAGGUUGGGUAACACUAACUGGAGGACCGAACCGACUAAUGUUGAAAAAUUAGCGGAUGACCUGUGGCUGGGGGUGAAAGGCCAAUCAAACCGGGAGAUAGCUGGUUCUCCCCGAAAGCUAUUUAGGUAGCGCCUCGUGAAUUCAUCUCCGGGGGUAGAGCACUGUUUCGGCUAGGGGGCCAUCCCGGCUUACCAACCCGAUGCAAACUGCGAAUACCGGAGAAUGUUAUCACGGGAGACACACGGCGGGUGCUAACGUCCGUCGUGAAGAGGGAAACAACCCAGACCGCCAGCUAAGGUCCCAAAGUCAUGGUUAAGUGGGAAACGAUGUGGGAAGGCCCAGACAGCCAGGAUGUUGGCUUAGAAGCAGCCAUCAUUUAAAGAAAGCGUAAUAGCUCACUGGUCGAGUCGGCCUGCGCGGAAGAUGUAACGGGGCUAAACCAUGCACCGAAGCUGCGGCAGCGAACGUAUCACCCAAGACAACUUUACGGAGUUGACGAUUGACGGAGCGAAGCGACGUCAAAGCGUUCAUUAAAGUCGAGUUGGCUUAGGGAUACGUUCGUUGGGUAGGGGAGCGUUCUGUAAGCCUGUGAAGGUGUGUCGUGAGGCAUGCUGGAGGUAUCAGAAGUGCGAAUGCUGACAUAAGUAACGAUAAAGCGGGUGAAAAGCCCGCUCGCCGGAAGACCAAGGGUUCCUGUCCAACGUUAAUCGGGGCAGGGUGAGUCGACCCCUAAGGCGAGGCCGAAAGGCGUAGUCGAUGGGAAACGGGUUAAUAUUCCCGUACUUGGUGUUACUGCGAAGGGGGGACGGAGAAGGCUAUGUUGGCCGGGCGACGGUUGUCCCGAUUUAAGCGUGUAGGUGUGUGUUCCAGGUAAAUCCGGUUCACUUUAACACUGAGGCGUGACGACGAGGCACUACGGUGCUGAAGCAACAAAUGCCCUGCUUCCAGGAAAAGCCUCUAAGCAUCAGGUAACACGAAAUCGUAC
rnacentral:rRNA from 1 species